rnacentral:piRNA from 1 species
UGCAUUUCAGAUCCCCUGAGAAAGGUAGA